CUGGUUUGAACCAGCCAUCUUAAAUCCUGUAACACUACAAAUUGCAUAUUGGCAGUAUGUUUCACAAUACCAGGAGCCUGUGACCGAAGGGGGAGUUGAAAGGCGUUACAGGUAUACAGCCUAUCAGCAAUUUGUACGUUGGUGCUGUGGUUAUCUUGGCAAAGACAGGCGAGUGCUGAUGUCGUGUAAUGAAGUCCAUACAUGAGGCAUUUCCUGAACCCAGUGCCAACUACACAGAGUUUAAAUAUCUUCCCCAGACAGGUGAAUUUUAGCUUCUCCUUUGACCAGAGGCUCCUCAUGCUGUAGCUAUGUUAAUGUAUUGCCAGUAUGAAUUACUAUGUCUGUGUUAAAUUAAUUUUAUCUAUUAAAAUUGUAUAUUUUAACAAUAAUUUAUUUUUGGUUAAU